rnacentral:misc_RNA from 1 species
CCGAUCGGUAGACGCUACGGACUUAAAUAAUUUGAGCUUUAGUAGAAAAACUUACUAAAUGCUAGCUUUCAGAUUCAGGGAAACUUAGGUUGAAAAAAGUAUAAGCAAUCCUGAGCCAAAUUUUAUUUUUGAACAAAAUAAAAUAGGUGCAGAGACUCAAUGGAAGCUAUUCUAACGAAUAAUAUUCUAAAUUUUAUUUCUAUUAAUAAAUAAAAUUUCAUUUUUUAGAUAUUAAGCGAGGAUAAAGAUAGAGUCCAAUUUUACAUGUUAAUCUCAGCAACAAUUUAAAUUGUAGUAGAAGGAAAAUCCGUUGGCUUUAUUGACCGUGAGGUUCAAGUCCCUCUACCCCCAAAACUAUAAUUUUUUAUUGACAUAAGCUUCCGGUUUAUGUUAGGAUAAGUCAAUGAAAAAGCCGGAAUAGCUCAGUUGGUAGAGCAGAAGACUGAAAAUCCUCGUGUCAC